CUUUACCCUUUGCCAUCCAUUCAGCAGCAGGCUCACCUUCCCCCCUGUGGUUUUACUGAUGCAUUUAUAAGAAGCCCUGAUGCAUUUAUAGAAGUCCUUCUUUUUUCCCCUGACAUCCCUCACCAGAUUACACUCCAUGUGACCUUCCUAGCCCCAUCCUGACAUACUUGGACAUCUUUCUAACCGUCCCAGGAAAUUCUACAUCUGGUACCUACAACAUCCUGCAGCCAGUUGCACAGUUCAGCUACAGGAGAUGUGAGGAAACACAUAUGUUUCUAUUGAAUCUGCCAACUGAUAACUUCACAUAACACAAGGAACAGAAAGAAUUACAUGAUGUAAACAACUCCCUUUUCUCCUCCUCGUCACUCAUGAUAGCGUAGCUCUCUUUCAAAUUGUCUCCGAAUUCUCUUUCCAUAAUGCCUAAAAUAAAUUUCCUUUGCUGCUUUUAAAGCUCAUUCCUCCUUGUCCUAAGCAUCGUGCACAGGGAGGUAUUUAUUCCCUUUUUAUUUGCAGCACCCUUUUACAUAUUUACAGAGUUGUACCUAGCUCUCUUCUGCCUUCUCAUCUUGACAUUAAACAACUGAAGUCCAUUACUUCUAUGAUUAAUCUUUCCUCAAGGACUGUGGUUUCUAAAACUCUGAUCCUUCUUGUCGUGUUCUUUAGAUGCUUUCUAAUUGGUGUGUAUCUUUCUUGAAACGUGAUCCCCAGAAUUGGACGCCAUUUCAGUUGAGGACUUACCAGCCCCAUAGGUCAGGAGAACUCUGUCACAUAUUCCAAGUGCAACAGUCCUGUUGGCAUACUGCAAUAUAGCUGCAUCUGUUAAAGGCAGCAGGCAUGCAAAUUUUCCUCUUUGGGCUACAAGGUAGUGGUUAAUGGUCCCCCCACUGUCAUCAUUUUACGUUUUGAAAUAAGCUAUUGCGCCUUAAGUGCAAGUCAAAAAGAUUACUGUGCCCUUGCUCAGGGCAUGGUUAAGAUGAGAUGCUACCUGAUCAUCUGCCAUCGGGAUGGAAGGCUCAGCCAGCGCAGCACUUGUGGGCCAGCUUAUGGACAAGUGGCACUCUUGUCUGUAGUGCUUGCUGUUGCGUUGCCUGCACUCAUCUCCACCAGGACACCAUAGUUUGGCUCCUGCUUCAAGGAGAGUUGUCUUCAGUUUCUGAGGUAUACAGGAGCUUCUUGAUUCCUAGAAUUGGAUUUGUGAUAACAAGAGGAAGCAAGCAUUUUUGAUCUUUGAUUUGUAGCAAAUCCACAGUAAAGCCCCCAUGGGGGGGGGGGGGUCUUUUUGUUUGUGUCCCCAAAGAAUUCUCAGGUGAAAACAGAAGUAUUUGGUUUUUUUCUGUGUUAAAAAAAAUCAACUUCUCUCAAGAGCCUUACCAGAAAGAAGUUGAAGAAAAUAGUUUAACACAGCAAAAUGCUUUCUAGCUCACUUCUAAAGUGCAAGGAAGAUGACUGUAGCCAGUUAGAACAUCAAAGCCCAAAUGACCCCAAGCAGCUGUCACACAGUCCUGAAGGGCUAUGAGGAGCAAGUGUAAUGAAAGUAGUAUGGAAGUAGAAGCAGUCUUUGAGCAGCACAGCCUUCCUUUUGGAGUAACUCACUUGGCUACACUGAGCAGGAUAAACUAGCCUGUGCACAGUUCCAGGACAGGGGUGGGUUUAAAGCUCUUAUGGGCAUCCCCAUGCAGCACUGCAAAGAGCAGUGUACGGAGUCAUUCCUGGGCUGAAGUAACUCUCCAGCAGAAGGCUGGCUGACUUUCUUUCCCUUGCUCUCUGCCCCUGAGUGCCAGCAUGCCCAUGGGAAACACACUUCAUCCUCUUCCUCAGCAUCUUCCUCAGGGAGGCACACUGAGGUUUAUGGGCAAAGGCAGAGAAGAGCUAGGUCCUGUUUUAGCCUAAUACAAGUUUAUCUCCUGAGGCUGCUGGGACUUUUUAAAUGCCAUCCUAUAGCAUUUGCCCAAAACUUGUUGAUUUUUUUCAGGCAAAAAGUAACAUGGGGGCUGUUCCCCUGCCCAAAGCCCCUCUGGGCCUGGCUGCUGACACAGCCCUGCUCUAAAAUCCUGGUUUAGUAAGAUAGGGUUCUCUUUCUCUCUAUCAACAGCACAUGAUUUUGAGGCUACGUUCUCCUGGUGCAUAAAGUCAGAGAGGAUAUGAUGGCUAUUUUACUGUUAUCCAGCAUCUGAAA